AAGAUUAAGCCAUGCAUGUCUAAGUAUAAACAAAUCUAUACUGUGAAACUGCGAAUGGCUCAUUAAAUCAGUUAUAGUUUAUUUGAUAAUACCUUACUACUUGGAUAACCGUAGUAAUUCUAGAGCUAAUACAUGCUAAAAAACCCGACCCUUUGGAAGAGAUGUAUUUAUUAGAUAAAAAAUCAAUGUCUUCGGACUCUUUGAUGAUUCAUAAUAACUUUUCGAAUCGCAU
rnacentral:rRNA from 1 species